UGACCAAUGAAUUUAACAGUAUACCAGUAAAAAAAAGGGGAUAGUGGAGUAUAAUUGAUGACGACUUUAAUAUUGAUUUUUUUUGUAUGUUUUCUAUCUAGUUAUGAGUCACUCAGGCCAUAAUUUGGAUUUAUUAAGAGAACCGUGUUGUCUUAUCCUUUUAGGUUUGAUUAACAUGCAUAAUUUUCUGUGGAACUGUGGGAUUUCUUUUCUUGUCUUUUCUUUUUAUUUUUUUUUUAAUGUUUGCAAUGUAGUCAUAAUACCUCAUGAACUUUUCUUUUGGGUUAAAAUGCUUCAGAUUUGGGUAGAUUAAGGAGGGGAUUUUUCUUGUAUUUAAUUCAUU
rnacentral:misc_RNA from 1 species